rnacentral:rRNA from 1 species
UUCGGAUUGCAGGCUGCAACCCGCCUGCAUGAAGUUGGAAUCGCUAGUAAUCGCGGAUCAGCAUGCCGCGGUGAAUACGUUCCCGGGCCUUGUACACACCGCCCGUCACACCAUGAGAGUCGGGAACACCCGAAGUCCGUAGUCUGACCGCAAGGGGGACGCGGCCGAAGGUGGGUUCGAUAAUUGGGGUGAAGUCGUAACAAGGUAUC